GUUGCGCGCGUUCUCUGGGCGGACUCCUCACCGCAGACGCGGACGGGAGGGUCGGACGCGCGCCCACCUGAGGCCAGUUCGCAGCCUCACCUCGGGGACGGUAUGUAGGUAGCUGGAAAGUCAAGGAGCCCAUCCCUUCGGCCGCCAGCGGGCCACCCUCUCACCCCGUCAGUAAAGUUGGUUUCCCUCAGUUACCUCAGCCUCAGCCGGGACCAGAAAACCGGCCUGGAGUCUUGAAAGGAAAGCCCUGGCGCAUUCCCAAACUUGAAGUACCUCGCAUUCCGGGGCUAGGAAAAGAAAAGGAUUUACCUCGUUUAUCCAGGAGGAUAUUCUCCAUCUGAAAAAUCACAGCACCAGGAUCAGUUCAGCAGCAAAGAGGCGGAUGGAAGCCUCAGUAAAGCAGCCAACAGCAGACCACAAGGAGUACAGAUCUGUGCUACAGUAGCUGCACACUGCAAAGUACCAAAAGUCAAGGCAUUAUCUGAGGGCUACUGUGCCGGGCUCAAGGCAUUAUAGGCCUCCUGCCCAACCUGGUGCCACAUGCUAUAUGUUCCCUCUCCAGGAGAGAAGUGCUGUGAGAAAGGGAACAGAACAAAGGCAGAACAAGCCAAAGGGAUGGGUAAUCUCAGGUGGGGAGAACGGUAGAGGGACCUUGGGAAUGAGUAGAGAGACCACUCACUAAUGAAGAGGUGCCGUUUUCCCUGCCAGCUGUCUCCCAAACCGUGUACAAAAGGAUGGUCAAUCUGUCGCUAGGGACAAAGUAAACAGGAAAUUAGGGAAGAACAGGAUAACUGAAGAUCAAGGCAACCAAGAAGUCAAUGUCUGCCUGGUAAUCCAGGAACCAGCAUAAUAUUAAGAAACACACUGGGACAUGCUGGAGAGAUUUCCCUGGCACCACAGGCUGAGGUGACACCUAAGAUGAGGCUGAGCUCGCCCAGGAGGGGCAGCAAUGCUGGAGGAAGCUGCUGCACCUGCGUAGGGGGAGGCCCCUACCCAGCACAAGGAGGAGGAGGAGGAUUGAGAGGGAGGUAGGGAGGAGAAAGAUUUUACUAUGCAUUUUACUGUAUGCCAACAGAAGUUGGGGAUAAAGGUAACUGUGUCGGCAAAUCUUGGUGACAACACAACAAAUGCUUCUUCAGAAAAAACUAGUCCCUCUAAAGACACCGUGCGGUGUCUCAGAAACCCAUGAUAGCAGUAACAUGGUAAAGAAGAAGGUGGCAUCUGAGCUCCCCCAGGAUGUGCCAGGUACAGCGUACAGUGUGUCAAUGCCUCUAAUGGGGGGAAUGCGUCCCCUUUUGUAGUAAAAGCUGAAUGUCACCUAAAACUUUAAAGUAUAUGUUCAUUCAUCCUGCUUGCUCACAUAAGUGCCAUCCCUGACUGCUAAAUUGUCACCUAACAUUUGUCAAACUCAUCAUAAUCUUCAUUUUAAAGUUUGUUUAGUUGUUUUUGUCUAAUAGACUUAUUUGUGUAUUUUAUCGCCAAACCAUGUUAGCAGAUAUUUUAGUUUUAAGUACUUACAUACUCAGUGCUGAAUGAUUUGACAUUCCAAUUCUGUAUAUGCUAACAGAUUAAUUGUAUGUUUGCAUGUGCUCGUGUAGUUUUUCUUUAACAUUUCAAAUCAUAAUAGAAAACCAUUGUCAUAAAAUUUUUUGCAAGAUAUAUUUGACAUAAAAUUUUAAGUUAAUCAGUAAUUCAUUUUAAGCUUCUUAAAAUAUAAGCAAAACAAUAAACACUGAUGAUUCCACUAAAAAUCAAGAAUUAUAGUUAAUAACCUUGAUGGAAAUCCUAAAUUUUUUUUCUACAUAUUAUAAAAAUAUUACAUAAUCUUUUCUCCUUCCAGUGCCUUUAUUUUAGUUUUUCUGGUAGGAAUGUAGGGAUAUCUUAUUCUGGUUUGAACUUGCAGUUCCCUGGUGACUAAGGAUGUUAAGCACCUUUUCGUGUGUAUGUAUGUGUAUAUAUAUACAUACAUAUAUACAGGUCACUUGGAUGUCUGCUUUUGUGAAGUGCCUGUGAGCUCCUUUCUUCAUUUUCUAGUAAGUGGUUUCUUUUUUGUGGUUGUUUCAUGGGUGAGGGUAAAUCCAGUCCCUCUACUCCAUCUUGACUGGAAGCAUUAAUUCCUACAUUGAUUUCUUUUUAAGUGUUAACCCAAUCUCAUAUUCCUAGAAUAAAUACAACUUGGUUGUGAUCUA